ACGAACGCUGGCGGCGUGCCUAAUACAUGCAAGUUGAGCGCUGAAGGUUGGUACUUGUACCGACUGGAUGAGCAGCGAACGGGUGAGUAACGCGUGGGGAAUCUGCCUUUGAGCGGGGGACAACAUUUGGAAACGAAUGCUAAUACCGCAUAAAAACUUUAAACACAAGUUUUAAGUUUGAAAGAUGCAAUUGCAUCACUCAAAGAUGAUCCCGCGUUGUAUUAGCUAGUUGGUGAGGUAAAGGCUCACCAAGGCGAUGAUACAUAGCCGACCUGAGAGGGUGAUCGGCCACAUUGGGACUGAGACACGGCCCAAACUCCUACGGGAGGCAGCAGUAGGGAAUCUUCGGCAAUGGACGAAAGUCUGACCGAGCAACGCCGCGUGAGUGAAGAAGGUUUUCGGAUCGUAAAACUCUGUUGGUAGAGAAGAACGUUGGUGAGAGUGGAAAGCUCAUCAAGUGACGGUAACUACACAGAAAGGGACGGCUAACUACGUG
rnacentral:rRNA from 1 species